rnacentral:rRNA from 1 species
UUGGAGGGCAAGUCUGGUGCCAGCAGCCGCGGUAAUUCCAGCUCCAAUAGCGUAUAUUAAAGUUGUUGCAGUUAAAAAGCUCGUAGUUGAAUUUCGGGAUCAGUACGCUGGUCGUGCCUUCGGUAUGCACUGGUGUCACUGGUUCCUACCUUCUGAAGAACCGUCAUGCCAUUCAGUUGGUGUGGCGGGGAAUCAGGACUGUUACUUUGAAAAAAUUAGAGUGUUUAAAGCAGGC